rnacentral:lncRNA from 1 species
UUUGAUUGAAUUGUAUCAAGUUUUUGAUCGUAAAAGACGUAUAGAAGGUAAAACAAAGCGAGAAACAUAUUAAGGAAAAAAUAUAUUUCAAUAGUUAAGUUGCUCAAACAUACUCUUUCUAUUGCAUGGCAGACAAUAUGAGAUCUUCCAACACUAGAUAAUUCCUUUUCAUAAUCCUUAUAAAGGUUUUAAGUGUUAGAUAAUUGAUUGAAUUGUAUCAAGUUUUUGAUUGCUUAAAGACGUAUAGAAGGUAAAAAAAGCAAGAAACAGAUUAAGGAAAAAAUAUAUUUCAAUAGUUAAGUUGCUCAAACAUACUCUUUCUAUUGCAUGGCAGACAAUAUGAGAUCUUCCAACACUAGAUAAUUCCUUUUCAUAAUCCUUAUAAAGAUCUAGAAUAGCUUUAU